GAAUCCUCCACUGCCCUAGCUAAUAUCACGUCUGUCUCUCACGCUUCUCUCGUUCUGUUUCUCAAUCUCUGACGCCACGAAAUCCUCCAGUAAGCCGCAUCGUACCACUAGCAUCCUCUACGUACGCAGCAAGCUCUCCCCAACUCGCCUCCAUCGAACCCCCCGCAGUAGGCUUGGUAUUCAGAGGCUUGAGAUUGCCAAAAACGACUUGCAACACAGGAUCGCAAAGGAGGCUAGAGGAAAUGCAAUUUUACAAGUAAGCUUAGAGAGAAGGAAGCAAGCAUUGCAUGAACAGCACAUGGCACUUGAACAAGAUGUGGGUGACACCCUACACUGCUUUGAUGGACUACAGCUGGAGCACCAGACAGUAGCUACAAAGACAAAAGUCAAAAACUCUUCAUGAUGCGUGUGACCGGCUGGUCAUAGAGAAGCAAAGACUGAUUGAAUUUGUAGAAGCACUUCAUAGUAAGCUCAAGUACUUUGAUGAAUUGGAGAAUGUAAGGUUUGAAUGCAAUCUUAACAAGAGUUUAAGUUUGUUUUGAUAUAUUGUUUUUUUUUUAGUCAAAGAGACCCACAAUAGAAAACAUUACUAAAGUAAUGGGACAAGAUUUGGAACAUUAUUUUGAUAUAUAGCAACUAGCAGCUUCCCAUUUAAAGUCAUUGUUGUUUGUUGAAACCUCUUCCAAAAGUCACACUAGCUUAUCCAAACUUCUACAAGCUUAAAUGAAAAUAACUCUCUAAAUGUUGGAUUCUUAUCUCCAAAUUAGGUUGGUCAUUCAUGUAUCU